rnacentral:rRNA from 1 species
AUAGUGAACCAGUACCGUGAGGGAAAGGCGAAAAGAACCCCGGCGAGGGGAGUGAAAAAGAACCUGAAACCGUGUACGUACAAGCAGUGGGAGCACCCUUCGGGGUGUGACUGCGUACCUUUUGUAUAAUGGGUCAGCGACUUAUAUUCUGUAGCAAGGUUAACCGUAUAGGGGAGCCGGAGGGAAACCGAGUCUUAACCGGGCGUUAAGUUGCAGGGUAUAGACCCGAAACCCGGUGAUCUAGCCAUGGGCAGGUUGAAGGUUGGGUAACACUAACUGGAGGACCGAACCGACUAAUGUUGAAAAAUUAGCGGAUGACCUGUGGCUGGGGGUGAAAGGCCAAUCAAACCGGGAGAUAGCUGGUUCUCCCCGAAAGCUAUUUAGGUAGCGCCUCGUGAAUUCAUCUCCGGGGGUAGAGCACUGUUUCGGCUAGGGGGCCAUCCCGGCUUACCAACCCGAUGCAAACUGCGAAUACCGGAGAAUGUUAUCACGGGAGACACACGGCGGGUGCUAACGUCCGUCGUGAAGAGGGAAACAACCCAGACCGCCAGCUAAGGUCCCAAAGUCAUGGUUAAGUGGGAAACGAUGUGGGAAGGCCCAGACAGCCAGGAUGUUGGCUUAGAAGCAGCCAUCAUUUAAAGAAAGCGUAAUAGCUCACUGGUCGAGUCGGCCUGCGCGGAAGAUGUAACGGGGCUAAACCAUGCACCGAAGCUGCGGCAGCGAACGUAUCACCCAAGACAACUUUACGGAGUUGACGAUUGACGGAGCGAAGCGACGUCAAAGCGUUCAUUAAAGUCGAGUUGGCUUAGGGAUACGUUCGUUGGGUAGGGGAGCGUUCUGUAAGCCUGUGAAGGUGUGUCGUGAGGCAUGCUGGAGGUAUCAGAAGUGCGAAUGCUGACAUAAGUAACGAUAAAGCGGGUGAAAAGCCCGCUCGCCGGAAGACCAAGGGUUCCUGUCCAACGUUAAUCGGGGCAGGGUGAGUCGACCCCUAAGGCGAGGCCGAAAGGCGUAGUCGAUGGGAAACGGGUUAAUAUUCCCGUACUUGGUGUUACUGCGAAGGGGGGACGGAGAAGGCUAUGUUGGCCGGGCGACGGUUGUCCCGGUUUAAGCGUGUAGGUGUGUGUUCCAGGUAAAUCCGGUUCACUUUAACACUGAGGCGUGACGACGAGGCACUACGGUGCUGAAGCAACAAAUGCCCUGCUUCCAGGAAAAGCCUCUAAGCAUCAGGUAACACGAAAUCGUACCCCAAACCGACACAGGUGGUCAGGUAGAGAAUACCAAGGCGCUUGAGAGAACUCGGGUGAAGGAACUAGGCAAAAUGGUGCCGUAACUUCGGGAGAAGGCACGCUGACACGUAGGUGAAGUGAUUUACUCAUGGAGCUGAAGUCAGUCGAAGAUACCAGCUGGCUGCAACUGUUUAUUAAAAACACAGCACUGUGCAAACACGAAAGUGGACGUAUACGGUGUGACGCCUGCCCGGUGCCGGAAGGUUAAUUGAUGGGGUCAGCGUAAGCGAAGCUCCUGAUCGAAGCCCCGGUAAACGGCGGCCGUAACUAUAACGGUCCUAAGGUAGCGAAAUUCCUUGUCGGGUAAGUUCCGACCUGCACGAAUGGCGUAAUGAUGGCCAGGCUGUCUCCACCCGAGACUCAGUGAAAUUGAACUCGCUGUGAAGAUGCAGUGUACCCGCGGCAAGACGGAAAGACCCCGUGAACCUUUACUAUAGCUUGACACUGAACAUUGAGCCUUGAUGUGUAGGAUAGGUGGGAGGCUUUGAAGUGUGGACGCCAGUCUGCAUGGAGCCGACCUUGAAAUACCACCCUUUAAUGUUUGAUGUUCUAACGUGGACCCGUAAUCCGGGUUGCGGACAGUGUCUGGUGGGUAGUUUGACUGGGGCGGUCUCCUCCUAAAGAGUAACGGAGGAGCACGAAGGUUGGCUAAUCCUGGUCGGACAUCAGGAGGUUAGUGCAAUGGCAUAAGCCAGCUUGACUGCGAGCGUGACGGCGCGAGCAGGUGCGAAAGCAGGUCAUAGUGAUCCGGUGGUUCUGAAUGGAAGGGCCAUCGCUCAACGGAUAAAAGGUACUCCGGGGAUAACAGGCUGAUACCGCCCAAGAGUUCAUAUCGACGGCGGUGUUUGGCACCUCGAUGUCGGCUCAUCACAUCCUGGGGCUGAAGUAGGUCCCAAGGGUAUGGCUGUUCGCCAUUUAAAGUGGUACGCGAGCUGGGUUUAGAACGUCGUGAGACAGUUCGGUCCCUAUCUGCCGUGGGCGCUGGAGAACUGAGGGGGGCUGCUCCUAGUACGAGAGGACCGGAGUGGACGCAUCACUGGUGUUCGGGUUGUCAUGCCAAUGGCACUGCCCGGUAGCUAAAUGCGGAAGAGAUAAGUGCUGAAAGCAUCUAAGCACGAAACUUGCCCCGAGAUGAGUUCUCCCUGAGACUUAGAGUCUCCUGAAGGAACGUUGAAGACGACGACGUUGAUAGGCCGGGUGUGUAAGCGCAGCGAUGCGUUGAGCUAACCGGUACUAAUGAACCGUGAGGCUUAACCUUACAACGCCGAAG